AUACGGAGGAUGCGAGCGUUAUCCGGAUUUAUUGGGUUUAAAGGGUGCGCAGGCGGGCGAUUAAGUCAGCGGUGAAAGGCUCGGGCUCAACCGGAGCAGUGCCGUUGAUACUGGUUGUCUUGAAUGCGGUCAAGGCCGGCGGAAUGUGGCGUGGAGCGGUGAAAUGCAUAGAUAUGCCAAAGAACACCGAUAGCGAAGGCAGCUGGCCGGGCCUGCAUUGACGCUCAGGCACGAAAGCGUGGGGAUCGAACAGGAUUAGAUACCCUGGUAGUCCACGCUGUAAACGAUGGACACUCGUUGUCGGCGACAGACAGUCGGCGGCCAAGCGAAAGUGAUAAGUGUCCCACCUGGGGAGUACGGUCGCAAGGCUGAAACUCAAAUGAAUUGACGGGG
rnacentral:rRNA from 1 species